AUUGAACGCUGGCGGCAGGCUUAACACAUGCAAGUCGAGCGAGCGGAGGACGGGUGAGGAAUGGCUGGGAAACUGCAUGAUGGAGGGGGAUAAGUACUGGAAACGGUAGCUAAUACCGCAUACCAUCAGAGCUGCCCAGAUGGGAUUAGCUAGUGGGUGGGGUAAUGUCUCCACUAGGCGGCGAUGCCUAGCUGGUCUGAGAGGUUGACCAGCCACACUGGAACUGAGACACGGUCCAGACUCCUCCGGGGGGCAGCAGUGGGGAAUAUUGGACAAUGGCCGAAAGCCUGAUGCAGCAAUGCCGCGUGAGUAAGAAAGGCCUUCGGGUUGUAAAGCACUUUCAGCGGGGCGGCGUUACUCGAAGAAGAAGCACCGGCUAACUCCGUGCCAGCCGCCGCGGUAAUUC
rnacentral:rRNA from 1 species